AAGGGAGAGGAAUAGGUGGGAAUCUGCCCCUGGACCGGGGAUAGCUACGGGAAACUGUAGGUAAUACCCGAUAACGUCGAAAGACCAAAGGUGUGAUUCCGUCUGAGGAUGAGCCCACCUCCUAUUAGCUUGUUGGCGGUGUAAAAGACCACCAAGGCAUUGAUGGGUAGCUGGUGUGAGAGCACGACCAGCCUCACUGGCACUGAGACACUGGCCAGACACCUACGGGUGGCUGCAGUCGAGAAUCUUCGGCAAUGGACGAAAGUCUGACCGAGCGACGCCGCGUGCGGGAUGAAGGCCUUCGGGUUGUAAACCGCUGUCGUAGGGGAUCAAAUGUAUGGGGGUUCUCCCCUGUAUUCGAGAGAUCCUAGGAGGAAGGAGAGGCUAAGCUCGUGCCAGCAGCCGCGGUAAGACGAGCUCUCCAAACGUUAUUCGGUAUUACUGGGCUUAAAGAGUUCGUAGGCGGUCGUGUAGGUGAGGUGUGAAAGCCCUCGGCUUAACCGAGGAACUGCGCUUCAAACCGCACGGCUUGAGGAAGGUAGGGGUACGUGGAACAGAUGGUGGAGCGGUGAAAUGCGUUGA
rnacentral:rRNA from 1 species